rnacentral:rRNA from 1 species
AGUCGAGCGGAAACGAGAAUAGCUUGCUAUUCGGCGUCGAGCGGCGGACGGGUGAGUAAUGCUUGGGAACAUGCCUUGAGGUGGGGGACAACAGUUGGAAACGACUGCUAAUACCGCAUAAUGUCUUCGGACCAAAGGAGGGGAUCUUCGGACCUUUCGCCUUUAGAGUGGCCCAAGUGAGAUUAGCUAGUUGGUGGGGUAAAGGCCUACCAAGGCGACGAUCUCUAGCUGGUUUGAGAGGAUGAUCAGCCACACUGGGACUGAGACACGGCCCAGACUCCUACGGGAGGCAGCAGUGGGGAAUAUUGCACAAUGGGGGAAACCCUGAUGCAGCCAUGCCGCGUGUGUGAAGAAGGCCCUCGGGUUGUAAAGCACUUUCAGUCGUGAGGAAAGGUUUGUAGCUAAUAUCUGCAAGCUGUGACGUUAGCGACAGAAGAAGCACCGGCUAACUCCGUGCCAGCAGCCGCGGUAAUACGGAGGGUGCGAGCGUUAAUCGGAAUUACUGGGCGUAAAGCGUGCGUAGGCGGUUUCUUAAGCGAGAUGUGAAAUCCCGGGGCUCAACCUCGGAACUGCAUUUCGAACUGGGUGACUAGAGUACUGUAGAGGGUGGUGGAAUUUCCAGUGUAGCGGUGAAAUGCGUAGAGAUUGGAAGGAACAUCAGUGGCGAA